AACUGCACGAAGAUUUAAAAGUCCUUAGUAUGCAGCAGUGAGCAUUAGACACUGACUUAGCACUUGCUCUUUUGCACUUACAGUUCUUUUGCACUGAAAAUUAUUUGUUGUAUAUUUUUUAUGUUAGAAAACUGCUUUGAGUGGAAAAAUGCCAAAGCUGAAAAAUAAAACUCAAGAUUUGUACUAUAAUAUGUAAUGUAAUUUUCUUUGUUAGAAAUGAUUUGAUAAAAUUGGUAUUGAUAAAAGUAUCGAUUCAAGAACAGGUAUCGAAAUCAAGGUAUUGGUACCAGAAUCGAAAACUUUUGAACGAUACCCAGCACUAUCUCUGACAAGUACUUGGUCCCUAAAAGGAGAACUACGUCUGUUUGUGUCUGAGGUGGUUUAGCUUUAUAGAGAUCAGACAAAAUUUAGGUCAUAGACCUUAUUUUCUGAAAUGAUAAUCAAGAAAAAAAAAAGAAAAACAUUUUUUGUCGAGGGAAUCAGAGUGACGCAAACGUUGGCCUACUUUGGCCUACAAAAAUACGUCAUCCGUAUGAUGAAGUUGAAGUCAUCCUGCUGCAGCUCAUCAAUCACGGACGGGGAGAGGCCAUACUAGCUUUUCAACAUAGUUUAAGUCAAGUUUCUUCGUCGACUGAACAACCUAGCUAGCUCGGGGAUAAUCUAUGUUGUUUAUUAUCGAAUAACCAAUGCCCGCUUCUUGUCUUAUUGGUGAAAUGUAAGCAAGUAAAAAAUCAUAAGUGACAGUAAUGUUACUUUCAUUUCAGGAGUCUAAAACGCUAACAUUGGUUAGUACGCAAUGUACCUGUUGAGACGCUGUUUCACAGGAAAUGAAACUAGAACCGUUAUGUUUAGGGGGUCCAUUAAGUCCACGACAUGCUUUCUUAUUCUUUUACUUCAACAACGGCCUCUGCAGCGUCAAGAUAUAUUUUUUUUCUGUCGGGCUUCAUGUUCAGACUUCAGAUUAAACGGUUUUUAUGUGCAGAAAACACAGCCUGUCGAUCUGUAGACCGGAGCCCCGGCUGCGUAGAUCCACCCAAUGAACUGACAUGCCGCCGAACGAGGACUGACUCCUGGACAUAUUUGAGAGAGAAGAAAAAUAUAUUUCUGGAUUUGGAGCUCAGCCACGGAAUUCAAGGAUUUCCAUAAGUUUUGGAUCAUAAGGAAGAGGGGCUCCACUCAGUCUUGGAUUCACCACAAAAGAUAAACAACUGAGAAGCAACAAGGGAGGAAGGAAAGAACAAACAGGAAGGUGAGUGGAGGGGAUA